rnacentral:rRNA from 1 species
UACGUAGGGGGCAAGCGUUGUCCGGGAUCAUUGGGCGUAAAGAGCGUGUAGGCGGCCCGGUAAGUCCGUUGUGAAAGUCCAGGGCUCAACCCUGGAAUGCCGAUGGAUACUGCCGGGCUAGAGUUCGGAAGAGGCGAGUGGAAUUCCUGGUGUAGCGGUGGAAUGCGCAGAUAUCCGGAGGAACACCGAUAGCGAAGGCAGCUCGCUGGGACGACACUGACGCUGAGACGCGAAAGCGUGGGGAGCGAACAGG